GAUGAAGAACGUAGCGAAAUGCGAUACUUGGUGUGAAUUGCAGAAUUCAGUGAAUCAUCGAGUCUUUGAACGCACAUUGCGCCCCCUGGUAUUCCGGGGGGCAUGCCUGUCCGAGCGUCAUUGCCGCCCUCAAGCACGGCUUGUGUGUUGGGCCCCCGCCCCCCGGCUUCGGGGGGCGGGCCCGAAAGGCAGCGGCGGCACCGCGUCCGGUCCUCGAGCGUAUGGGGCUUCGUCACCCGCUCUGUAGGCCCGGCCGGCGCCCGCCGGCGACCCCAAUCAAUCUUUCCAGGUUGACCUCGGAUCAGGUAGGGAUACCCGCUGAACUUAAGCAUAUCAAUAAGCGGAGGA
rnacentral:misc_RNA from 1 species